rnacentral:rRNA from 1 species
AGAUUAAGUUAUUAAGGGCGCACGGUGGAUGCCUUGGCACUAGAAGCCGAUGAAGGACGUUACUAACGACGAUAUGCUUUGGGGAGCUGUAAGUAAGCUUUGAUCCAGAGAUUUCCGAAUGGGGAAACCCAGCAUGAGUUAUGUCAUGUUAUCGAUAUGUGAAUACAUAGCAUAUCAGAAGGCACACCCGGAGAACUGAAACAUCUUAGUACCCGGAGGAAGAGAAAGAAAAUUCGAUUCCCUUAGUAGCGGCGAGCGAAAGGGGAAGAGCCCAAACCAACAAGCUUGCUUGUUGGGGUUGUAGGACACUCUAUACGGAGUUACAAAGGACGACAUUAGACGAAUCAUCUGGAAAGAUGAAUCAAAGAAGGUAAUAAUCCUGUAGUCGAAAAUGUUGUCUCUCUUGAGUGGAUCCUGAGUACGACGGAGCACGUGAAAUUCCGUCGGAAUCUGGGAGGACCAUCUCCUAAGGCUAAAUACUCUCUAGUGACCGAUAGUGAACCAGUACCGUGAGGGAAAGGUGAAAAGCACCCCGGAAGGGGAGUGAAAUAGAACCUGAAACCGUGUGCUUACAAGUAGUCAGAGCCCGUUAAUGGGUGAUGGCGUGCCUUUUGUAGAAUGAACCGGCGAGUUACGAUUUGAUGCAAGGUUAAGCAGUAAAUGUGGAGCCGUAGCGAAAGCGAGUCUGAAUAGGGCGUUUAGUAUUUGGUCGUAGACCCGAAACCAGGUGAUCUACCCUUGGUCAGGUUGAAGUUCAGGUAACACUGAAUGGAGGACCGAACCGACUUACGUUGAAAAGUGAGCGGAUGAACUGAGGGUAGCGGAGAAAUUCCAAUCGAACCUGGAGAUAGCUGGUUCUCUCCGAAAUAGCUUUAGGGCUAGCCUCAAGUGAUGAUUAUUGGAGGUAGAGCACUGUUUGGACGAGGGGCCCCUCUCGGGUUACCGAAUUCAGACAAACUCCGAAUGCCAAUUAAUUUAACUUGGGAGUCAGAACAUGGGUGAUAAGGUCCGUGUUCGAAAGGGAAACAGCCCAGACCACCAGCUAAGGUCCCAAAAUAUAUGUUAAGUGGAAAAGGAUGUGGCGUUGCCCAGACAACUAGGAUGUUGGCUUAGAAGCAGCCAUCAUUUAAAGAGUGCGUAAUAGCUCACUAGUCGAGUGACACUGCGCCGAAAAUGUACCGGGGCUAAACAUAUUACCGAAGCUGUGGAUUGUCCUUUGGACAAUGGUAGGAGAGCGUUCUAAGGGCGUUGAAGCAUGAUCGUAAGGACAUGUGGAGCGCUUAGAAGUGAGAAUGCCGGUGUGAGU